GUUUAUAAUAAUUUGGAAAAAAAUUAAUUUAUUAGAGAUAAACUAAAAUUAACCCUUUUAAAAUAGAUUGGGUGGUAGGUUACGGUGCACAUGUUUGGUCAGGAUGAAUCGAAGUGGAGGACAAACGCAAAUUGAUUAGGCUUAAUGUAUGUAGGUAAUCAGAAUCGUGAUUGAACUGUUGAAUCCAAGGCUAAUCUAAUAUAGUCUUAGAUAUUGCCACAUUGGACUGUUCACACAUGGAAGGUUUGGAUUUGGAUUAAACAAUGUCAUGUGUAACGAAUGAGUAUUGUUGAGUUGUGUCCCACAUUGGCUAGUAAAGGGGAGAUGCUUGGGUUUAUAAGGUGGUAGGUCACUCCACCUAAAAGGCUAGUCUUUUGAGUUGGAUACCUAGAAAUCUUAUGCUAAGUCCCCCCAACAAGUGGUAUCAGAGCUAGACCCUAGUAGCCGGAAUGUGGUGGUGGAACAACUCAUGUGUGUCGGACGAAAGGACCGGAGUCCGGCGGUGGUUUCGUCCGAGGGGGAGAUUGUUGAGUUGUGUCCCACAUUGGCUAGUAAAGGGGAGAUGCUUGGGUUUAUAAGGUGGUAGGUCACUCCACCUAAAAGGCUAGUCUUUUGGGUUGGAUACCUAGAAAUCUUAUGCUAAGUCCCCCCAACAAGUAUGAACCAGAGACUUUCUCCAGCUGGACACGUACCGUGAUGCAUACACAUGAACUUGUCGGAGCCAUGCAAACGUGUUUAGAAAAUGUUUUCAUCGUGAUUUUAACUUGAUUUAGCUCUAUCCUCCGCCAGCGGCCGACCGAUUAAAGAUUUUCUCCUUAUUUAUUUAUUUAUUUUUUGAGUUUUUAAAAAUUCUGAGUCACGUGUCUUUUCGUAUUAAUGUACCAAUAGAAUUUUUUUUCUUUAUUUAUUAACCAAAAAAUUUA
rnacentral:lncRNA from 1 species